GACGAACGCUGGCGGCGUGCUUAACACAUGCAAGUCGAACGGUGAAGCACCUUCCUUUUGGUGGGUGUGGAUGAGUGGCGAACGGGUGAGUAACACGUGAGUAACCUGCCCCCUUCUUCUGGAUAACCGCAUGAAAGUGUGGCUAAUACGGGAUAUUCUGUGCCUGCUGCAUGGUGGGUGUGGGAAAGAUGCGCUUUUGGGUGUUUUUGGUGGGGGAUGGGCUCGCGGCCUAUCAGCUUGUUGGUGGGGUGAUGGCCUACCAAGGCGGAGACGGGUAGCCGGCCUGAGAGGGUGGACGGUCACACUGGGACUGAGACACGGCCCAGACUCCUACGGGAGGCAGCAGUGGGGAAUAUUGCACAAUGGGCGCAAGCCUGAUGCAGCGACGCCGCGUGAGGGAUGGAGGCCUUCGGGUUGUAAACCUCUUUCGCCAGUGAAGCAGGCCUGUCCCUUGUGGGUGGGUUGACGGCAGCUGGAUAAGAAGCGCCGGCUAACUACGUG
rnacentral:rRNA from 1 species